rnacentral:snRNA from 1 species
CAAAAACAGCUCUUCAAGAAUUUUUUCUAACAGGAUUUCUGAUCUUGGUCAGAAAUCCCAA